GAGCACGUAGGUGGGUUUGUAAGUCAGAUGUGAAAGCCUCCUGUUCAACGGGAGAAUUGCAUCUGAAACUACAGAUCUUGAGUGUAGGAGGGGAGAAUGGAACUUCUGGUGGAGCGGUGAAAUGCGUAGAUAUCAGAAGGAACGCCGGCGGCGAAAGCGAUUCUCUGGCCUAUUACUGACACUCAGUGUGCGAAAGCUAGGGGAGCAAACGGGAUUAGAUACCCCGGUAGUCCUAGCCGUAAACGAUGGGCACUAAGUAGAGGGGUUUU
rnacentral:rRNA from 1 species